GAGUCACAGCCACCCAAAACCCUUUGCUUCGCUUCGGUGGCUUGACGGGCCAGCAGCAGCGGAGAGAAGAUGCAGUUCUGCACCUGCAGUGGUGGAGCUUCCAGUGGGCAGAGCGGUGGUGACUACUUGGACAACUCAUCAGAGUCUCAGAGGUCAGCAACUGGUAGGUAGCACUCCAAUCCACAUUCCCGGCUACUCUCACUCC
rnacentral:lncRNA from 1 species